UACAGAGGUCUCAAGCGUUGUUCGGAUUCAUUGGGCGUAAAGGGUGCGUAGGUGGCGCGGUAAGUCGGGUGUGAAAUUUCGGAGCUUAACUCCGAAACUGCAUUCGAUACUGCCGUGCUUGAGGACUGGAGAGGAGACUGGAAUUUACGGUGUGGCAGUGAAAUGCGUAGAGAUCGUAAGGAAGACCAGUGGCGAAGGCGGGUCUCUGGACAGUUCCUGACACUGAGGCACGAAGGCCAGGGGAGCAAACGGG
rnacentral:rRNA from 1 species